UGACAUUUCUGCAGGGAGAGAUUUCUGAUUGAUUAAAUUCGGGCUCGGGUUGGGGGAGAUUUCAGUGUUGCAGCUCCACAGCAAAACCUGGGUUGGGGCUGCUUUAAACUCUUUCAAUUGUUAAUUUAGCACCAGAUUGAUUCUUUAUUAAAAAAAAAUAACCCAACAAAAAAACCAACAAAAAAAAAACCCACAAAAGAAAACAAAAACUCAAACUGAAAUCAAACAAACAAAACCACCAAAGAACCAAACCACCCCAAAACUUAACAAAAAAAACCCCAAAGCACCACAAAAUCCCGAUCAAACCCAGAUUUCAGUGCCAAACAUCGCCUGGGACCGGGUUUCCCAGACAGAUCCUGUCCUGUGCACCAGGGAACAGCCCCAAAAUCAACCCCAAAAAUUCGGGGCGUUCAUUCCUCAGUGGGAAAAUCCAAAGGAAAUGGAAUUAAUGAUGCUGGGAAGGAGCCCGAGAGCCCAGGGAUGGUUCCCAGCAUGGCAGGGCUGGGAAAAUCCAUCCUGCAGGGGCACAACCACAAACCCAGCUGCAUUUGCUGGGGGGAAAUGGAGGUUUAUUUAUCUGAAAAGGGUUUUAUUUAUCUGAAAAUGGGUGUUAUUUAUCUGAAAAAGGUUUUAUUUAUCUGAAAAUGGGUUUUAUUUAUCUGAAAAUGGGUGUUAUUUAUCUGAAAAAGGGUUUUAUUUAUCUGAAAAAGGGUUUUAUUUAUCUGAAAAUGGGUGUUAUGUCCUGAAAAAGGUUUUAUUUAUCUGAAAAAAGGUUUUAUGUAUCUGAAAAGGGUUUUAGGCGCAAUCUGUGCCCCAGCCAGAUCCAGAUCCAGGAUCCCAGAGCCAGGUCCAUGGAAGGCUAAAGAACCACAAACUCUCCAUGGAAUUCUCCACUACACAGGAAUAAAUAUGGAUAUCGAGGUGUUCUUGGAAAAUCCAGAUGUGGUGAAAAUUCCCACUGGGAUUUUUGGGUUGUUGGGUUCUGGUUUUUUUAGGGUUGAUUUUUUUUAUUUUUCUUUUUUUUUUAUGGGAGUUUUGUUUAUUCUGUUUUUGUGUUAGGAACAGUACUUUAAAGGUCUGUUAGGGUUUUACUAAUUUUUGUCAGUAAUUUACUAAUUACUGUAUUAUUAAAAUUCUUAAUAUAUUAGUAAAAUAUAUUAUAUUAUUAAAAUUAUG
rnacentral:lncRNA from 1 species